rnacentral:lncRNA from 1 species
UGUACUUACAUAUAACUGCAUAUUAGCGUAAAGUAAAAGACAGUGAUGUUACAGUGCAGAGACCCUGAGAAGUUAAGUGACGAGGAGGGGUGGGGGUGGGGUAGGGAGGGACACAAGGAUCUCCCUGGAAAGGGGAUAUAGAUUUCUUGGGUGGAUUGGGGGGCAUGUGGGGUUGGGGACUUGGGAACAGGAGGGAUCAGGUUCAGGGGAGGGAGAGAAAAUACUAGGAGAAAUGACUGGAAUUGGGGGAGGGGCAUUUCAGGGUCGAGCUGGAAACCUAGUGCAACGGAAGCCAGUGGAAUCUACAAGAGUGACCCUAGUACAGACUCCUGGUGACGGGGGACACAGAGCCUGAGCCAGCCAUCUUCUGUAACUAGGCAAGCCCUCAAGUGGAGGGACAGGGACACCAAUCCAGCCACAAAACCUUCAACCUAUAGUUUGCCCUGCUUGCAGGGUGUUCUGGGACUAGAGCCCAGCAGAACUGUCAUCAAAGGAACAAGAGAGAUUUCGUUCAGCAGCUGACUGAAGCAGAUGCAGAGUCCCACACCCACACGUUAGGAGGAGCUCAGGCAUCCUUCGGAGGAGGGAUUGAAAGGACUGGAGGAGCCUGACGGGUCAGGGACGUAGCGUGAGAACAUGGCCCACAGAAUCAAUUGACAAGGACUCAUGGAGGCUCAUGAAGCCCAUAGAGAUCAGAAAGCCUAUAGGGGUCUGACCUAGGUUCCCUCAUAUAUGUUCUUAUGAGAAUCCUAAGAGCAGGAACAGGGGCUGUUCCCGACUCUCUUGCCUGCGUGUAGGACUCUUUUCCUCCUACUGGAUUGCCUUGUCCAGCCUUAGUGAGGUGCUAUGUGCCUGAUCUUAUUGUAGCUCGUUAGGCCAUGUCUGGUUGACAUCCCUGGGAAGCCUGCUUUUUUCUGAGGUGUGUUAGGAGGGGAGGGGUGGGACGGGGAGAGGGGAGGGGAGAUAGGGGGAAUAAAGGGAGGGGAAACUGUGGUUGGGAUGGAGUAUAUGACAGAAGGAUUUAAAAAAAAUUCCUUUAGGCAAAAAAAAAAAAAAUUCUGGGCAUGUAAAUCUUAGCACUUAGCAGUUCGAAGCAGAAGCACUCAACUCCAGGCCAUCCUGGGCUACAGGGAAGACCCUGACCCAACAACAGAAUUCAAGUCUGCAGAAUACAAAUAUUUCCUCCUAGGGUCAAGCCAUCAGGGCCUUUUUCUCCAUGUGUUCCUGAGGACUAAGCCCAAGGCUGUGUGAAUGCUAGGCAACAUACUACCACAGCUAAACAAACCCCUCUCCCCCCAUUUUUUUCCGACAAGGCCUCACUAUUUAGCCCAGCUGGCCUUGAAUUCUCUCUCUCUUUUUUUUUUUUUUUUUUUUUUUCCCUCCUUCGGAGCUGGGGACCGAACCACCCAGGGCCUUGCGCUUCCUAGGCAAGCGCUCUACCACUGAGCUAAAUCCCCAAUCCC